CGUGGCCAGUCGCUAGGGACAGAUGCACGUCCUGUACCUCGGAUUGAAGCGUCGCGAGCUGCUGCUAUCGCUAGUUUGAACAAAAUGGCUGCAGAGGCACCACUAACGAAAGCCCGCUGAACGGUAGGAAUUAUCAUCGACGAUGUUUUAAUGGAUAUCUUGGAAAUAACCCCUCUCCAAAUAUUGGAUUUCGCAAGAAUUUGCUCUCUUGGAUUCCUCUAUUUGCGAACAUUUCACAGUCGCGUGCUGUAAAACAUUUUUUUUUGCACUUUAAAAAUGUCAGCUCAUCAAAGACAAGCCGAGAGAAGAAGCAGGGAACACGAGACCAGAGCCAUUUGAUGGAAGAAAAGAAAAAGAGAAAGCAAGAAGAAAAGAAAAAGAAGGAAGCUGCUCAGAAAAAGGUCACUGAACAGAAAACCAAAGGUGUGUUCUCAUCUUUUCCAACAUUCUGCAACCACUCCUACCUCCUAUUACCUUAGACUGACUGACUGAUUGAAAAGAGA